GACGAACGCUGGCGGCGUGCCUAAUACAUGCAAGUAGAACGCAGUUAAGAACGGGUGAGUAACGCGUAGUUACCUUCAUCAUCGCGCCGGAUAACUAUUGGUAACGCUAGCUAAUACCGCAUAUUGUGAGAUGGACCGGCGUUGUAUUAGCCAGUUGGUGAGGGAAAGGGUAACCAAGGCGAAGAUACAUAGCCGACCUGAGAGGUGGAUUGGCCACACUGGGGCUUGGACACGGCCCAGAAGCCUACGGGAGGGAGCAGUAGGGAAUCUUCGGGAAUGGAAGGAAGUCUGAACGAGGAACGGCGCGUGAAUUAAGAAGGUUUUCGGAUCGUAAAGCUCUGUUUGUAGAGAAGCGGUAACUAACCAGAAAGGGACGGCUAACUACGUGCCAGCAGCCGCGGUAAUAC
rnacentral:rRNA from 1 species